AUUGAAGGGAUGAUAUCCGAUUCAGGAAAGUUUAUAUGUCGACCCAAAAAAAUCAUUCAGACUACAAUUAUCUGAUCAAAU
rnacentral:snoRNA from 1 species